rnacentral:rRNA from 1 species
AUCGAACGCUGGCGGCAGGCCUAACACAUGCAAGUCGAACGGUAACAGGAAGCAGCUUGCUGCUUCGCUGACGAGUGGCGGACGGGUGAGUCAUGUCUGGGAAACUGCCUGAUGGAGGGGGAUAACUACUGGAAACGGUAGCUAAUACCGCAUAACGUCGCAAGACCAAAGAGGGGGACCUUAUGGCCUCUUGCCAUCGGAUGUGCCCAGAUGGGAUUAGCUAGUAGGUGGGGUAACGGCUCACCUAGGCGACGAUCCCUAGAUGCUCUGAGAGGAUGACAAGCCACACUGGAACUGAGACACGGUCCAGACUCCUACGGGAGGCAGCAGUGGGGAAUAUUGCACAAUGGGCGCAAGCCUGAUGCAGCCAUGCCGCGUGUAUGAAGAAGGCCUUCGGGUUGUAAAGUACUUUCAGCGGGGAGGAAGGGAGUAAAGUUAAUACCUUUGCUCAUUGACGUUACCCGCAGAAGAAGCACCGGCUAACUCCGUG